AAAUAUAUAAUCAACAAGUGAGGCAAAUCACCAGGGUGACUCCGAUACUAUAUUGAAAGAUAUCAAUAUUACCGAAGUUCAUCAAUGAGGGACUAUUUGAAUUUUAAUCUCAAUCAUAUUAUAGAUGCAAUUUUGAAGUUUGAGGAGGCUUUACUCAUUGACCCUUUGAAGCAUGAGGCUAUGUGGUCACUAGGAAAUGCUAAUACCUCUUAUACUUUCAUGACGCCUAAUCUCGAUGAGGCAAAGCCUUCUUUCGUUAGUGCAUACGAGUUUUUCCAAAAGGUAUUGGAGGAGGUAUAAUGUAGUUUAAUUGGAUACAACUCGCACAUAUAUUAUGUACCAGAAUUUAUAUGUCAUUUUUUUAGCUUUUGUCUACUGUUAUUGCUUCUUCAAUGAGGUAAUUAAUCUUCCUCACUAUUAAUUAUGUUAUGUAUGUUAUGCCAACAAUAUUUUCACAACUAAAUUCUCCUUAAAUAAUAAUAUAUAGUCAAUAAUAAGUA